AUUGAACGCUGGCGGCAUGCCUUACACAUGCAAGUCGAACGGCAGCACGGGAGCAAUCCUGGUGGCGAGUGGCGAACGGGUGAGUAAUAUAUCGGAACGUGCCCAGUAGUGGGGGAUAACUGCUCGAAAGAGCAGCUAAUACCGCAUACGACCUGAGGGUGAAAGGGGGGGACCGCAAGACCUCUCGCUAUUGGAGCGGCCGAUAUCAGAUUAGCUAGUUGGUGGGGUAAAGGCCUACCAAGGCAACGAUCUGUAGUUGGUCUGAGAGGACGACCAGCCACACUGGGACUGAGACACGGCCCAGACUCCUACGGGAGGCAGCAGUGGGGAAUUUUGGACAAUGGGCGCAAGCCUGAUCCAGCAAUGCCGCGUGCAGGAAGAAGGCCUUCGGGUUGUAAACUGCUUUUGUCAGGGAAGAAAUCCUCUAGGUUAAUACCCUUGGGGGGAUGACGGUACCUGAAGAAUAAGCACCGGCUAACUACGCGCCAGCAGCCGCCGUAAUAC
rnacentral:rRNA from 1 species